rnacentral:rRNA from 1 species
GACGAACGCUGGCGGCGUGCUUAACACAUGCAAGUCGAGCGGUAAGGCCUUUCGGGGUACACGAGCGGCGAACGGGUGAGUAACACGUGGGUGAUCUGCCCUGCACUUCGGGAUAAGCCUGGGAAACUGGGUCUAAUACCGGAUAUGACCUCCUAUCGCAUGGUGGGUGGUGGAAAAAUUUAUCGGUGCAGGAUGGGCCCGCGGCCUAUCAGCUUGUUGGUGGGGUAAUGGCCUACCAAGGCGACGACGGGUAGCCGACCUGAGAGGGUGACCGGCCACACUGGGACUGAGACACGGCCCAGACUCCUACGGGAGGCAGCAGUGGGGAAUAUUGCACAAUGGGCGAAAGCCUGAUGCAGCGACGCCGCGUGAGGGAUGACGGCCUUCGGGUUGUAAACCUCUUUCAGCAGGGACGAAGCGCAAGUGACGGUACCUGCAGAAGAAGCACCGGCUAACUACGUG